rnacentral:rRNA from 1 species
GGGUCCGGACACACUGAGGAUUGACAGGCAAAAGAUACAAGUUUUCUUUGUGGGAGCUUGCAUUGUAAAAUAUGCGAGUCCUUUCAUGAUUAUGUGAUAGGUGGUGCAUGGCCGUUCUUAGUUCGUGGAGUGAUCUGUCUGCUUAAUUGCGUUUCACAACGAUUUAAAAUGCUAUGUUUUCUGUGUUUGCUGUUCGGUUUUAGCUCUUACGGGAGUUUUUAACUUUGAACGCACACGGCGUAGCUUAAAACAAUCGGAAAGCAACGAACGUGACCGCAACCUCUUGUUGCCUUUAUUUUUAAAAGCGUGGAAAAUUUUAUAUUUUCCUACGCUUGAAAAAGGCUUUAAAACUAGAGGGACCGCUGUUCUAUUCUCUUAAACCAGAGGAAGAUUGCGGCAAUAACAGGUCUGUGAUGCCCUCAGAUGUUCCGGGCUGCACACGUGCUACAAUGAUUGUUGCAGUGAGCAUCUAUUUUCAAACGCUACCGUUGCGGAUUUUGUGAGAAGGGGGAUUUGUUUUAAAGCUUUCGGGUGGAGAAGCAGGUUCUUUUUUUUUCACAAUUUAUUCCGCGUUACGUGUCAGCUAAACCUGCUUCGAAAGCAAGUAGGU